GCAAUGGCGCGAUCUCGGUUCACCACAACCUCUGCCUGAGCAACAGAGUGAAACCCUGUCUCUUUAAAAAAACAACAAAAAAAGAUCAUUUAUAUAUAUGACCUAAUAAGAAAAUACACCACAAUACUUCAUAAAGUAGAAUCUCAUAUCAAAGGAUCAAAGGCCUAAUCUGUGACGAUAAUAACAGCUAGCAUUUGUUGAUCAUAAUUUAUGUCCUUCUUUUUUUGUUGUUGUUCUUUUUAAAAGUUUUUUUCAUUAAAAAAAAUUUUAACUUAAAGAGAUAGGGUCUCCUUAUGUUGGCCAGGUUGGUACUGUCUUCUCAUGCUCCCCCACCUACCUGGCCUCAAGCGAUCUUCCUACCUCAUCCUCCCAAAGUCCUGGGAUUACAGGCACUGUCAUAAUCUAUGUCCUUUGGACACAUUAUCUCAUUUAAUCUUCCCAACAACCUUAUGAAGGAAGUUAUUAGGAAAACUGGGUUUGAACCAGGCAGUCUGACCCCAGCCCUUACAUACCACUGUCCUAACCCCACACAGAGCUUUACUUCCUCUCUCUGAAACCAGUCCUCCGUGCUGUGCACCCUCUGAUGGGGGGAAGGUGUGCAUUGUUUGGAGUUAUAAAGAGAGGCCUAGGCGGCUGGGCGCGGUGGCUCACGCCUGUAAUCCCAGCACUUUGGGAGGCCGAGGCAGGCGGAUCACAAGGUCAGGAGAUCGAGAACAUCCUGGCUAACACGGUGAAACCCCGUCUCCACUAAAAAUACAAAAAAUUAGCUGGGCAUGGUGGAGGACUCCUGUAGUCCCAGCUACUCUGGAGGCUGAGGCAGGAGAAUGGUGUGAACCCAGGAGGCGGAGCUUGCAGUGAGCUGGGAUCGCGCCACUGCACUGCACUCCAGCCUGGGCGACAGAGCCAGACUCCGUCUCAAAAAAAAAAAAAAAAAAAAGAGAGAGGCCUAAUGAAGAAAUGGUAGCUGAUGGACCUUGGACCAAUAAAUCAGGCACCAACUUAUCUUUAUCAACUGCUGGGUACAGUACCAGAACAUUAUAAAUAGACAAUAAAUGCUUAGUGAGCCCAAAUAUCUUGUUUAAUUAAGAGUUAACUAUUGAAGGUGGUCUUGUGUGUGUAGAAAUGAGGGGCAGGGCAUGCUGGUUGGAGGGCAUGUUGCAGCACAUCUUUGCCAAGAAUGAGCUCAGCCUGUCCUGGAGAGUCAGCUUGUCAACAAUAGAGAAUUCAUUCAGUUGUUCAGCAAACAGGUUUUGAGCAUCUACAAUGUGCCAGGUACUGUGUUACGGGUUAAGGAUAUAAAGAUGAAUAAGACACAACCCCUGACUUCAAAUGCUUCAUGGUCUUAAGAGGUUUGGUGAGGAGGGGCAGACAGGCACAGAUGGAAACAAAGACAUGUGCCAUGCAGGCUUAUAAAUGACUUUUAAAGGGUCUAGAGAAAGAGCUGAGGAUGAAGAGAGAAAAAGCUGAUGGGGGAAGGGAGAGAGAAGUUGGCCAUUGACAAUCAGG
rnacentral:lncRNA from 10 species